rnacentral:rRNA from 1 species
ACGAACGCUGGCGGCAUGCCUAAUACAUGCAAGUCGAACGAGAUCUUCGGAUCUAGUGGCGCACGGGUGCGUAACGCGUGGGAAUCUGCCCUUGGGUUCGGAAUAACUUCUGGAAACGGAAGCUAAUACCGGAUGAUGACGUAAGUCCAAAGAUUUAUCGCCCAAGGAUGAGCCCGCGUAGGAUUAGGUAGUUGGUGAGGUAAAGGCUCACCAAGCCGACGAUCCUUAGCUGGUCUGAGAGGAUGAUCAGCCACACUGGGACUGAGACACGGCCCAGACUCAGAGGGAGGAGAGAGGUAGGGAAUAGUAAACAGGGGCCAAAGGCUGACCAACGCAUGGCCGGGGGAGGGAAGAGGCCCUUGGGGUUAAAAAUUCUUUUCCCCCGGAGGGAAAAGGAGAGUACGGGGAAAAAAAGCCCCGGCUACCCCCGGC